GGGGAUAUAGCUCAGUGGUAGAGCAUUCGACUGCAGAUCGAGAGGU
rnacentral:tRNA from 1 species